CUUCUCAGCAGCGAGAAGGUUGGGCCAGGUGUCAGUGACAGGGGCAUGCGUGGGCUGGGCAGGCCAGUUAAUCGACCUUGUGGCUGAAGAGGGAGGGGGACGUCUGACGAAGGAAGACGGUCUUCCCUGGCAAUCCCUGCACGUCGCGGGGGAGGGCAACGAGGGGCUCCGGUAACCGGGAGACCCACACUCUGGGCCACCCGCGACCCUGAUUGGAGCUCUGGGUGGGAGGCAGGCGGGAGCCCGCUGCCGCGGCUCCUGAGUUCCACCACACCUCGGGCACGUGAGUGAGGCUGGGGGUCCAGGUGCUCCGAC
rnacentral:lncRNA from 1 species